rnacentral:tRNA from 1 species
GAACACAUAGCUCAGUUGGUAGAGCAACAGACUCCAAAUUCAAUAGCAACAUCAAACUUAGUGUGUUCG